UCGCACGAGAACGUUCUGGCUUUGCCAGAACAAGUACAGUGGCGGACGGGUGCGUAUCGCGUAGAUAACCAGCCCUUAGGCGCGGGACAAUCACGGGAAACCGUGGCUAAUACCGCACGUCGUCUGGGCCCCGCAUGGGGACCAGAUGAAAGCUUGGGGUUACCCAGGCGCCUUGGGAUGGGUCUGCGUUGGAUUAGCUUGUUGGUGAGGCAACGGCUCACCAAGGCGACGAUCCAUAGCUGGUCUGAGAGGACGAUCAGCCACACUGGGACUGAGACACGGCCCAGACUCCUACGGGAGGCAGCAGUGGGGAAUCCUGCACAAUGGGGUCACCCCUGAUGCAGCCAUGCCGCGUGGAGGAAGACACCCCUAUGGGGCGUAAACUCCUUUUCUGAAUGAAGAAACCCCUGUAGGUUCAGGGCGCGACGGUAGUUCAGGAAUAAGCACCGGCUAACUCCGUGCCAGCAGCCGCGGUAAUACGGAGGGUGCAAGCGUUGUCCGGAAUCACUGGGUGUAAAGGGUGUGCAGGCGGGGCAACAAGUCGGAUGUGAAACCCCAUGGCUCAACCAUGGAGGUGCAUUCGAAACUGUUGCUCUUGAGCCCCGGAGAGGCUGUCGGAAUUCGUGGUGUAGCGGUGAAAUGCGUAGAUAUCACGAGGAACACCAGAGGCGAAAGCGGGCAGCUGGACGGGUACUGACGCUCAGGCACGAAAGCGUGGGGAGCAAACAGGAUUAGAUACCC
rnacentral:rRNA from 1 species